ACAGAAAAAUUCUCAAUUAUUAUUCAUGCAUGAAUAAGUUCAAAAAAGAGAUGUGGGGGAUGUUGUUUCAAUUCCAGGUGAUUGUAGGAAGGACUGUCAAGAUGGAAAGGCUAGUGUCUGCAAAGGGCAAAGGAACACUUCUGGUUUUCAUUUUCCCUUUGUCUUUGAGUGCAAGAGGCCAUGAGGAGAGUGUGCCCUAAACUGGGACCUUUUUUGAACAUUGCAGCUGAGAUGGAGAAGUGUUCCACCUUCUAGAAGGACUUCAGGACAAAGAUAUGUAAUGAAAAUAAGUCCAGGCUGGCUGUCCUUGUGGGCAUCAGCUACUGACAUCUGCAUAGUUGUUGCUAUGGGAAUGGCAGAACAGGUGGAAUCUUGCAUAUCCUUGUGUGACAUAAGCACUGGUGAAUUCAAAGCCAGAGGGGUAUAAUAGAAACAGCAUCACCUCCCUGCCAGAUUAGGCAAAGGGUGAGUGGGAUGUUGUUUCAAUUAGUGCUGAUGUGAGGAAGGACUGUAAGGAUGGAAAGGCUGGUGUUUGCCAUCGGGCAGGGAAACACAUCUGGUUUUCAUCUUCUCUUUGUCUUUGAGUGCCAGAAAAAUAGAGGAGAGUGUGCUCUAACCUUGGACCCCUCCUGCCCUCUUCUGCUGAGAGGGAGAAAUGUUCCAGCUUCUAGAAGGACAUCAGGACAAAGAUAUGAGCUCUUGACUUGAAAGCUAGAGGGAUGCAAUAGAAUGAGCUGCAACCUCUGCCAGACAUGGCAAAGAAAAAGAGGAGAGUGUGCCCUAAUCUUGGACCCCUCCUGCCCUCUUCUGCUGAGAUGGAGAAAUGUUCCAGCUUCUAGAAGGACAUCAGGACAAAGAUAUGUAAUGAAAAUAAGUCCAGGCUGGGUGUCCUUGUGGGCAUCAGCUGCUGGCAUCUGCAUUGCUGCUUCCAUGAGUAUGGCACAGCAGGUAA
rnacentral:lncRNA from 1 species